GCUUACGGCCAUACCACCCUGAGCGCGCCCGAUCUCGUCUGAUCUCGGAAGCUAAGCAGGGUCGGGCCUGGUUCGUACUUGGAUGGGAGACCGCCUGGGACUACCAGGUGCUGUAAGCU
ensembl:rRNA 5S_rRNA 5S ribosomal RNA